rnacentral:rRNA from 1 species
CCUCGAUGUCGGUUCGUCACAUCCUGGGGCUGGAGAAGGUCCCAAGGGUUCGGCUGUUCGCCGAUUAAAGUGGCACGUGAACUGGGUUCAGAACGUCGCAAGACAGUUCGGUCCCUAUCUGUGGUGGGCGUCAGUAGAUUGAGAGGACAUGACCUUAGUACGAGAGGACCGGGUCGUACGUACCGCUGGUGUAUCAGUUGUGCCGCCAGGUGCAGUGCUGAGUAGCUAUGUACGGACAGGAUAAACGCUGAAAGCAUCUAAGCGUGAAACCUACCUCAAGAUGAGUCUACUUUUAAGGGCCGUCAAAGACGAUGACGUUGAUAGGCUACAGGUGUAAAGCUGGUAACAGCAAAGCCGAGUAGUACUAAUUGCCCGUACGCUUUAAUUUUUUU